rnacentral:tRNA from 1 species
GCCUUCGUAGCUCAGUGGAUAGAGCACCGGCCUCCGAAGCCGGUGGCGCAGGUUCGAGUCCUGCCGAGGGCACCA